UGCUUUUAACAAGCUAAUUCACACAUGAUUAGAUGAGUUACUUCUAUCUUGUUAGUCACCACCUAACAUCCUUUACUCAUGAAAAUGACACUAUUAUGGCAGACUGACAGGAGGUAUUAAAUCUUUCACACAAUGUGCUUCAUGACGCAGGACUCUGUGCUGUAUGGCCUGUUCACCGGGACGCAUACCAAGACAAACAUCGACUGCGCCUGAAAGACCAUCAACUCAAUGAAAGAAGCUCUUUGGUCUGCCCGAAACUUGAUGGUCUUCCAGAGCAAGGAGUUGACCCCGACCAACAAUUGCAGACUGGCUCAUUCCAAUGAACUGGACGAGAUACUGAGGGAUCCAGCGAAACUUGAGGCAGCUAAAGUCUUUCUGCUAAAGUACAAUGUGUGCACCUACAUGAAUCACAAGGACCUUUGUUCCCUUAACAUCCACGCAGCAUGUGACCAUCUGCACCGCAUCAUGCAGCUGAUGACAAGUUACUAGGCAGUAACCUGCAGCAAAAGACAAUAUUGGCAUCCUCGAACAGUGGAUUCAGUGCCUUACCAGCUCAGGAUCCUUAUGGUUUAUUGUGGGUUGAUCAAAAUAGGUGUAGAAAGAGAGACAGAAACCUGGAGGGCAUGUCACGUGAGUAUGCCUCAUGACAGCCAUGCAUCAUUUCCUGCAAUGUAUGUACAAGUAGAAUAAUAUGCUUGAGCAUUAACAGGUAUUUUGGUGAAACUUCAAGUUCUUGGAUUGAGCCAUGCCACCUUACAAUACAGACUCGAGAUGGUGAGAAACAGAGAGAUGGUAUACUGCAUAAUGUUUUAAAGAACGUCAGUGUGACUUCAUGCGACUCCAAAUACAUAACAAUGUGGUUGACUUUUAACUGCCCUCUGUUAGGGAUGGGCAACAACUGCUGGCUUAGCCAAUGAUUUCCACAUCUCUUAAAUAAAUUUAAAAUAACUAUCUUUUCUAUUUAUUUUGGCAUUUCUUGCAAAUUGAUCUGAUGACUGGCAAGAUGAGAAGCUUUUUGUUGCUUUUUUCAGCAAUAUUUAAGUUCCAUACUGUCAAAUAACCAUUACAAAUAGCUUUAUCCAGAAAAUGCAUCUU